CGCGUAGACGGUUGUCUAAGUCUGGAGUGAAAGUCCUGCUUUCAAGGUGGGAAUUGCUUUGGAGACUGAAUGACUUGAGUGCGGAAGAGGUAAGUGGAAUUCCCAGUGUAGCGGUGAAAUGCGUAGAGAUUGGGAAGAACACCAGUGGCGAAGGCGACUUACUGGGCCGUAACUGACGUUGAUGCGCGAAAGCGUGGGGAGCGAACA
rnacentral:rRNA from 1 species